rnacentral:rRNA from 1 species
GGGUUGUGAGGUUAAGCGACUAAGCGUACACGGUGGAUGCCCUGGCAGUCAGAGGCGAUGAAGGACGUGCUAAUCUGCGAUAAGCGUCGGUAAGGUGAUAUGAACCGUUAUAACCGGCGAUUUCCGAAUGGGGAAACCCAGUGUGUUUCGACACACUAUCAUUAACUGAAUCCAUAGGUUAAUGAGGCGAACCGGGGGAACUGAAACAUCUAAGUACCCCGAGGAAAAGAAAUCAACCGAGAUUCCCCCAGUAGCGGCGAGCGAACGGGGAGCAGCCCAGAGCCUGAAUCAGUAUGUGUGUUAGUGGAAGCGUCUGGAAAGGCGCGCGAUACAGGGUGACAGCCCCGUACACAAAAAUGCACAUAUUGUGAGCUCGAUGAGUAGGGCGGGACACGUGGUAUCCUGUCUGAAUAUGGGGGGACCAUCCUCCAAGGCUAAAUACUCCUGACUGACCGAUAGUGAACCAGUACCGUGAGGGAAAGGCGAAAAGAACCCCGGCGAGGGGAGUGAAAAAGAACCUGAAACCGUGUACGUACAAGCAGUGGGAGCACGCUUAGGCGUGUGACUGCGUACCUUUUGUAUAAUGGGUCAGCGACUUAUAUUCUGUAGCAAGGUUAACCGAAUAGGGGAGCCGAAGGGAAACCGAGUCUUAACUGGGCGUUAAGUUGCAGGGUAUAGACCCGAAACCCGGUGAUCUAGCCAUGGGCAGGUUGAAGGUUGGGUAACACUAACUGGAGGACCGAACCGACUAAUGUUGAAAAAUUAGCGGAUGACUUGUGGCUGGGGGUGAAAGGCCAAUCAAACCGGGAGAUAGCUGGUUCUCCCCGAAAGCUAUUUAGGUAGCGCCUCGUGAAUUCAUCUCCGGGGGUAGAGCACUGUUUCGGCAAGGGGGUCAUCCCGACUUACCAACCCGAUGCAAACUGCGAAUACCGGAGAAUGUUAUCACGGGAGACACACGGCGGGUGCUAACGUCCGUCGUGAAGAGGGAAACAACCCAGACCGCCAGCUAAGGUCCCAAAGUCAUGGUUAAGUGGGAAACGAUGUGGGAAGGCCCAGACAGCCAGGAUGUUGGCUUAGAAGCAGCCAUCAUUUAAAGAAAGCGUAAUAGCUCACUGGUCGAGUCGGCCUGCGCGGAAGAUGUAACGGGGCUAAACCAUGCACCGAAGCUGCGGCAGCGACGCUUAUGCGUUGUUGGGUAGGGGAGCGUUCUGUAAGCCUGUGAAGGUGUGCUGUGAGGCAUGCUGGAGGUAUCAGAAGUGCGAAUGCUGACAUAAGUAACGAUAAAGCGGGUGAAAAGCCCGCUCGCCGGAAGACCAAGGGUUCCUGUCCAACGUUAAUCGGGGCAGGGUGAGUCGACCCCUAAGGCGAGGCCGAAAGGCGUAGUCGAUGGGAAACAGGUUAAUAUUCCUGUACUUGGUGUUACUGCGAAGGGGGGACGGAGAAGGCUAUGUUGGCCGGGCGACGGUUGUCCCGGUUUAAGCGUGUAGGCUGGUUUUCCAGGCAAAUCCGGAAAAUCAAGGCUGAGGCGUGAUGACGAGGCACUACGGUGCUGAAGCAACAAAUGCCCUGCUUCCGUGAAAAGCCUCUAAGCAUCAGGUAACAUCAAAUCGUACCCCAAACCGACACAGGUGGUCAGGUAGAGAAUACCAAGGCGCUUGAGAGAACUCGGGUGAAGGAACUAGGCAAAAUGGUGCCGUAACUUCGGGAGAAGGCACGCUGAUAUGUAGGUGAGGUCCCUCGCGGAUGGAGCUGAAAUCAGUCGAAGAUACCAGCUGGCUGCAACUGUUUAUUAAAAACACAGCACUGUGCAAACACGAAAGUGGACGUAUACGGUGUGACGCCUGCCCGGUGCCGGAAGGUUAAUUGAUGGGGUUAGCGCAAGCGAAGCUCUUGAUCGAAGCCCCGGUAAACGGCGGCCGUAACUAUAACGGUCCUAAGGUAGCGAAAUUCCUUGUCGGGUAAGUUCCGACCUGCACGAAUGGCGUAAUGAUGGCCAGGCUGUCUCCACCCGAGACUCAGUGAAAUUGAACUCGCUGUGAAGAUGCAGUGUACCCGCGGCAAGACGGAAAGACCCCGUGAACCUUUACUAUAGCUUGACACUGAACAUUGAGCCUUGAUGUGUAGGAUAGGUGGGAGGCUUAGAAGUGUGGACGCCAGUCUGCAUGGAGCCGACCUUGAAAUACCACCCUUUAAUGUUUGAUGUUCUAACGUUGACCCGUAAUCCGGGUUGCGGACAGUGUCUGGUGGGUAGUUUGACUGGGGCGGUCUCCUCCUAAAGAGUAACGGAGGAGCACGAAGGUUGGCUAAUCCUGGUCGGACAUCAGGAGGUUAGUGCAAUGGCAUAAGCCAGCUUGACUGCGAGCGUGACGGCGCGAGCAGGUGCGAAAGCAGGUCAUAGUGAUCCGGUGGUUCUGAAUGGAAGGGCCAUCGCUCAACGGAUAAAAGGUACUCCGGGGAUAACAGGCUGAUACCGCCCAAGAGUUCAUAUCGACGGCGGUGUUUGGCACCUCGAUGUCGGCUCAUCACAUCCUGGGGCUGAAGUAGGUCCCAAGGGUAUGGCUGUUCGCCAUUUAAAGUGGUACGCGAGCUGGGUUUAGAACGUCGUGAGACAGUUCGGUCCCUAUCUGCCGUGGGCGCUGGAGAACUGAGGGGGGGCUGCUCCUAGUACGAGAGGACCGGAGUGGACGCAUCACUGGUGUUCGGGUUGUCAUGCCAAUGGCACUGCCCGGUAGCUAAAUGCGGAAGAGAUAAGUGCUGAAAGCAUCUAAGCACGAAACUUGCCCCGAGAUGAGUUCUCCCUGACUCCUUGAGAGUCCUGAAGGAACGUUGAAGACGACGACGUUGAUAGGCCGGGUGUGUAAGCGCAGCGAUGCGUUGAGCUAACCGGUACUAAUGAACCGUGAGGCUUAACCUUACAACGCCGAAGGUGUUU